CUUCGGAUGACGUCUGUGUGUGCUCUUUCUGUGUUGUAUUUAGUUUGGAAGAGUUUCAUCCCACCUCCGUAUUCGCUAUAUGUUGCCCUGACGGUUUCAAACGGAUUUUAAAUAUUUAUUCAGUCAGUGUGGUCUCCUUGUGAAACUGUAUUCCUGUGUGGGUUAAAUAUGACUGUCAAACGCAGUAGUACAUCGCGAUGACUAGAUGUAGUCAUAAAAAUUAAAUUUUAAAAUGGAAACGGGGACUGGGGAUUUAGCUCAGCGGCAUAAGUGCCUGCCUUGUAAGCAGGCGGUCGUGAGUUCGAUCCCUGGUACCGAUAAAAAGGAAAAAGACAAAAAAAAAAAAAAAAAAUGGAAACGGAUAGUGGUUGCCCAGCAUUGUAAAUUUACUUAAUGCCAAUAAGUUGUACGCUUAAAAUCGCUUAAAAUGGCAAAUAUUUAGUAUGUUUUACAAUAAAAAGUGGCAUUUUUUUCAAAAAGAAAACUUGUAUUUUUUUGUUUUAAGGGCUCUAAAACUUAAUCAUAAUCUUUUUUAUAACAUUAUGUGUUUGCCUGAAGCUUCUGUUGCUACACAAUCAAAGUUGCAGGUCUCCUAUAAAAGCAGCAAAACCCAAAUUAACAAAAUUAAAUCCUACUACCUUCAUAUAACAAUAGAAGAGAGAUCACAGAUAUAUAACAAUUGGAACAUUCUGUAGAAAACAAUUAUAAAACAAAUUGUACUUCAAAAUUGAUCUUAUAACCAAGAAUUAUUUGUGGAAUUGUUAAUGUAUUGAGUUUAGAAAUAUUAAGUGCCAUGGUUUUUGCUUUCAGAGAAUAGGUAGCAUUUGAGUCGAGUUAGAAAGGAAAUACUAAGCCAAAGGGAGAAAAAAGAACCAGAAAGGCCUUAGAGAGAACCUGGCAUACUUGGCGAUCACCUACAAGUUUAAUAGUAUAAGAGCUUAAUUAAACAUGAAUAAGAACAAUGCUGGACUGAUAGUUUACAAAGAAAUUUAGCCUUUAUCUUACAGAAAUAGGCAAAGGCAUCACUGAGAAGUGUGAGCGAUGGUGAAGUAAUCAGAUUUCCUUCCAUGUUAAGUAGCAAUGUUUAGGGUGUGAUGUAAACAAGGUCACAUUUAUGAAUCAGAGAUUAUUCAUUGUGUUUUUUCUUGAUUCCAGAGUUGUAGUAAAAGGGGAAUAGUAAUAGAUGUGAGAGUCCCUUAUUUACAUACAUACUCUCAUUACAAAUUUUUGAUGCUUACUUAGGGAAUUUUGCUUUCAUAUAACUUAACAAACUCGCAGCUACUUUUUGGGUCUGUGUAAUACAAACGGCGGAUAUAUUCACAUGCCAAUGCCAAAUCAAGGCUACUUACUGCAAUCUACAUCAUAGCACUUGUAAUGAUAUUAGACCUCUUUUUGUUGUCACUGGUACUAAUAAUGGACUACAUUUGCUGUUAUUUUCAAAAGGUUAUUUGUUGUACUAGUAUUAGCCCCAGAAUAUUUACACUGAGCUACAUCCCAACCCCAUCUGUCUGUCUACCUAUUUAUCUAUUGAUGUAUCUAUUUACCUACCUAUUAAUUUUGAGAUGGUCUCAGUUGUUAGGUUGCCUAAACUAAGUUUGAAUUUGCCGUCCUCCUGCCUCAGCCUCCCAGAAUAGUAGGAUUAGAGGCAUGUGGUAUAAUCACUUCCUAACUAAUACACUCAGGAGAGACAAAGGACCAUAGAACAAGGUGAGAGUAGUUAUUAGACUCAUUUAAGUGUAUGGGUUGAAUUAUGACAUUAACCCUCUUGCCCAAAAUUUAUUUUGAAGUCCUAAAACCCACACCUUGCUGGGUAAGCUGUACCACUGGGCUACAGCCCAUGCCUUUUUAAUUUUUUUUUAAAUUUGAGUCAGAGUCCUACCCAGUUCUUUAGGCUAGCCGCCAAUUUAUGAUCUUCAUGCCUAGCCUCCUGAGUAGCUGGGACUACAGGUGUGUACCACUAUCACCAGCUGCAGUGUAUCUUUUUAAAAGAUGGUAAAGAGGGCUUAGAGUGUAACUCAGUGGCACAAGCACUCCUGAGUUUGAUACCUAGAACCAAAAAAAUUAAAUUUAAUUUUAAAAAAGACAGUAAAGAGGAAAACGUUCAUAAUUUUAAAAAGUGUAAAUAAAAGUCAGCAAGGGCUUGUGAUUUAGAACAAUUCACCUAGCAUUUCUAGGCCUGUGACAAACUAUAAAUUGAAGUUAAGGGAUAAUCCAAUCUCUAAAGUGCCAUCUGUCUGUUUAAGUUGUAUGGUUCUUUUUUUCUCCACUUUUUCUUGUUUUUGUCUUUUUGUGAUAGGGUUUCACUACUCAUUUCAGGCUGGCUUUAAACUCACUGUGUAGCCCAGGCUGGCCUCGAACUUGUGGUGAUCCUCCAUCCUCAGCCUCCCAAGUGCUAGGAUUACAGGCAUGGAACUGAGGAUCAAUAUGACUUUGCUUAAAUAGAAAAAUUUCAAUUUACGAGAAUCCAGCAAGCAUUUGGCAGUAGUGUGGGAGCACAGCUACAAACUACAGAACGGGUCUAUGUACAUUCUAACCUAUUUUCUAACCACGUUGGCUGAAUUAUGAAGUAGAGUUGUGCCAGACGCUUCUAAAAGAAAAUGUGGAAGACAGCAUGAAAUCUCUCGGUGAUUCACAGUUCUCAGUGGGCAGCGUUCAGCCUGACUCAGGAGGCUGCAACAGACACUUCAAUUUAUGCUCCUGGAGGGCUCUGCCGUGUUUUGGGGCUCUGUAGGCCAGGGAGGUGACUCACCUUAGAGACCACCAAACCCACAAGCAAAAGCAUGGGUGAGAAUGUCCGAGAAACAAGAAAGAACCCCAGGAGACCUGGAUGUUAACUAAAUCUUCGCAAGCCACCCUGGACAAAGCUCAAUCCUUUCAUAGACUGUCAUAAGCAACUCCUAUUUUUCCACCCAGGAGAGGGGUUGAUUGUACCUAACAUAGCAAAAGGUAAACCCUCUGUAGUAGAAGAUCUCUGUUUGAGCACAUCGUACUACAAAAUGUUAAAAACUAAAAGCAAAACUUAAAAAGAACCAGAAGGAGGGGCUGGGGAUUUAGCACAGAGGCAUAAGCACCUCCCUUGCAAGCACAUGGUUGUGAGUUCGAUUCCCAGUACCAAAAAACAAAAAACACAGAAGAAAAGACAAAAAAUUCAAGAAGACAAAAAAGAAGUCUGAAAGUUGACUCUCUAAUAGGUCUAUGUGUGUUAGCUUUUCCUCACAAUGAACAAAUACCUGGGAAGGUCAGUCUCAAGGAGAAAAUAAAACUUAAAUGGUUUAUUUUGCUUUACAGUUUUAGAGGUUUUAGUCUGGUCAACUGGCUUCAGGCAGAAACAUGGCAAAAUUUUAAAGGUUGUAGCUCAGUGUGGAAGUCCUAAUUUCAGUCCAGGUAUAGAGAGAGAGGGAGGAAGAAAGGAAAGAUGAAAGGAAAAAAAGGACACUAACUUUUGAGUUCUGUACUGAAAGGGAAAAAGGUUUCAAGAAUUAAAGGAAAGACAAUAAAGAUGUUUCCAAGAAUUGCCAACAGUUCUGCUUAAGGAAAAUGAUCUUAAAUCCUCAGGCGGACAAAACGUACAGAUAAGGAUAAAUUUGUAAACUUUUAGAGUAUUAUCUGUUGCAAACAGCAAUAAUAAUUAUGUCUUGUGGGGUUUUAUAACACAUGAAGUAGAAUAUGUAAUAACUCAAAAAGGAUAAAAGAUUAGUGGAGCUGUAUAGUCUUUCACUGUUCAUAAAGUAGUAAAUGCAAUAAUUUUUAUUAAACUGUAAUAAGCCAAACAUGCUAUCCUCUGUUCAGGGUGCUAGUUACAGAUUAUAUACAUUAUAUACAUACAAUGUUACAGAUAUGAGUACAUGCAAAAAUUUAUCCUGCACAUGGGACAUCAUAAUUUAAAAUAGUUCAGCUGUUUCUCAAAAUUUAAACAUUCCUAGCCAUUUACCCAAAAGAAACAUGUCAUUGUCCACAAAACAUCUUGUACAAAGUGUUUAUAGGAGCUUUAUUUAUAAUAGCCAAAAACUGAAAAAAAGUCCAAAUGUCCAAAAGCUGCAGAAUGAAUAAAAAAAUAGUAUAUACAUACACAGGAAUCAUGUUCAUCAAUAAAAAGACAUAGUAUAAAAGUGGUAACUUGGAUAAACCACAAAAAAUUAUGCUAAAUAAAAGAAGCAACACACAAAAACCCACAUACUAUGUGAUUCCUUUUACAUGACAUUUCUAGGGAAGGCAAAUGUAGUAUACAAGUAAAAAGCAGAAGAGCAAGCUGUGUGUACUAGAGCAUGCUUGUAGACUUAGCGCUCAGGAGGCUGAAGCAGGAGGAUCACCACGUUACCCAGCCUGGAAUAAAUCUGGGAUACAUAGUGAAAACCUGUAUCAAAUAAAAAACAAAAGAAAGAGUGGCAUCGGCCUUGGGAAUAUACAUGGUAGUGAACACUAACUACAGAGAAGCAAAAAUGUUCUAAAACUGAGUUAUGGUGAUGGUUAUACAAUUUGAAGCCAUAAAUUUGAAGUGGGUAAAAUUUAUGAUUUGUACAUUACAUCUCAAUAAAGCUAUUUUUAAAAAAAGUCA